AGCAGUGCUGGAUGCUUGGAGGACAUGGAGUGAGGACAAGCUCUCCACAGCUCCCCCAGUGCUACGAGGAAUAUGAUCAUCUGCAUUACAUGGGUAGAGAAGUAAGAAACAAGAAGCUAAUCUGACUUGCUGAAGGUCACAAACUAAAGGUGCUGGAAGGAGGGAGCUGAAUCCACACCUUACAGGCUCCCAGCUUGGAUAGCUGUUCCCAGCAUUUCCAGUGGGGUGGACCACCUGGGGCUUCCCAGGGCCAGGGAGCGCAAGGCUGCCCACCAGCACUGCAGCAAGCACUCCCAUUUCCUCAUCUUUCUCAUGUAUACCACAAAAACCCUCUUCUUCUUCCAGAGAAUAGUUGUGUUUCAAUGAGGCCAUGCAUCUUUCUUGGGUUUGGGUAAUUUAGGUCCCUCGCUCAUCACCGUGUAAUGCGUUCCCAGCUGAGCAGAGCUGAGAAGCAUGUUAUUCAAUAAAGAGGCUUUUAC
rnacentral:lncRNA from 7 species